rnacentral:lncRNA from 1 species
GUGAGUUGUACUACAGGAGAUGGGAGAGCUUUGCCUAGUCAUUUACUCAAUUACUCACCCUACGAUGUGCCAUUUACCGUUUAGACAUGGAAGAAAGAGCAAAGAGCAGCACAGACAACCUCCUUGCUCUUGUGGAACUUAUAUUCUAGCACAGGAAGACCCACUCUAUGCAAAGAAACUAAGUAUGAAUAUGAAACUCUUAAGAUAAUAAGCGCUAUUCAUUUUUUAAGCUGAUGAGAAAGAGAUGACUAGGAGGAGGAAAGAGGCAACUUUAGCCAGGGAAGUCAGGAAAGGCCUCUCUGAGAAGCCAAGAGCCGAGCUGAGCAGAGCUGGAGGCACAAGAAAGAGCUGUCUGUGAGAUCCAAGGCAGAGUGUGGCAAAUGACGACCCCCAACCAGAUCCCACCCACCAUCAAUUCAGAUAGAGGGAACAACACAUGCUAAGUCCCAGCACAAGGACCAGGAGGACAGCAGAGAGGCUGGAAUUAAAGACGGAAGAUGGAAUUAAAGUCUGAGAGACAAGCAGAGAGCAGAUCCUAUGGGACACAGGAUAUUUUUUGUCAUCUCAUCAUAUGCUACCAUAUGUUAUGGUGGUAUGGAACCAAACCUGAAAUAUAUGCAAGGUGUGCCUGUAAUCUGCCUUCCAGCUUCUUUAAGACUCUUUGGUCCAAGGUAAAAUCAUCCUCUCCCCUUGUCCACUCUUGGCUUUUCAAGAAUAUUGCUCUCACAUUUCUCCCCUUCCCUUAGUACAUUAUUGAUUUUUUUCUGUUCUCUACAAAUGUAUUUCCAUCAUUAAAAAUGCCAUGUUAUUUCUCUCAUCUCAAAAUAAAACAAACUCUCCUGACUCCACUUCCCUCUCCAGCGAUCAUCCCAUUUCUCUGUUAGCUUUGAUAACACAACUCCUCAAAAAGGCUGUCAUCAUUGUGCCAAAUUAUUAUUACCUUCAGUUCUCUCUUUAAUACUCUAAUCUUGCCUUCGUUCUCUCUACUUCAC